rnacentral:rRNA from 1 species
AGUGAACGCAGGCGGUAGGCCUAACACAUGCAAGUCGAACGGCAGCACAGUAAGAGCUUGCUCUUACGGGUGGCGAGUGGCGGACGGGUGAGGAAUACAUCGGAAUCUACUUUUUCGUGGGGGAUAACGUAGGGAAACUUACGCUAAUACCGCAUACGACCUACGGGUGAAAGCAGGGGAUCUUCGGACCUUGCGCGAUUGAAUGAGCCGAUGUCGGAUUAGCUAGUUGGCGGGGUAAAGGCCCACCAAGGCGACGAUCCGUAGCUGGUCUGAGAGGAUGAUAAGCCACACUGGAACUGGAACACGGUCCAGACUCCUACGGGAGGCAGCAGUGGGGAAUAUUGGACAAUGGGCGCAAGCCUGAUCCAGCCAUACCGCGUGGGUGAAGAAGGCCUUCGGGUUGUAAAGCCCUUUUGUUGGGAAAGAAAAGCAGCAGGUUAAUACCCCGCUGUUCUGACGGUACCCAAAGAAUAAGCACCGGCUAACUUCGUG